rnacentral:rRNA from 1 species
GACGAACGCUGGCGGCGUGCCUAACACAUGCAAGUCGAACGGACGAGAUGGCUUCGGCCAUCGAGUUAGUGGCGGACGGGUGAGUAACGCGUGAGCAACCUGCCUCACAGAGGGGGAUAACACACGGAAACGUGUGCUAAUACCGCAUAAUUCAUACUUGUGGCAUCACGGGUAUGGCAAAGGAGCAAUCCGCUGUGAGAUGGGCUCGCGUCCGAUUAGAUAGUUGGCGGGGUAACGGCCCACCAAGUCUGCGAUCGGUAGCCGGACUGAGAGGUUGAUCGGCCACAUUGGGACUGAGACACGGCCCAAACUCCUACGGGAGGCAGCAGUGAGGGAUAUUGCACAAUGGGCGAAAGCCUGAUGCAGCAACGCCGCGUGAGGGAUGACGGUCUUCGGAUUGUAAACCUCUGUCCUCAGUGAAGAAGAAAGUGACGGUAGCUGAGGAGGAAGCCACGGCUAACUACGUGCCAGCAGCC